rnacentral:ncRNA from 1 species
AGGUCUUGGUCUUAAACCUCACGUUGUCUACACCCCAUACCCAUACAUGCAAGCCUCACCAUCGCGGUGAAACAGCCUACCAAUAACAAACAGAGCCGACAUCAGGCCAAUCGCCCAUGACGUCAAGCAAUCAGCCACACCCCCACGGGCCUGCAGCAGUACUUAAUAUUGGGCUAUAAGCGAAAGCUUGACCUAAUAAUGGGGUCCACCAGGGCCGGUUAAUCUCGUGCCAGCGACCGCGGUUACACGACAGACCCAAGACAACGCCAUCGGCGUAAAGCACGACUAAAAAAUAGUUCAUCACCUAGAGAUGAGGAAAAACUGGGCCGUAAAAAGCCAUAAGUCACACAAACCACCACCCCUAGAAACAAAACCUAUUCGACUCGUGAAAGCAGGGACACAAACUAAGAUUAGAUACCUUACUAUGCCCCGCCGUAACCCAGCAAUCAAAUAACCAAUUGCUCGCCAAAUAACUACGAGUAAAAACUUGAAAUUUAAAAGACUUGACGGUACUUCACAACAACCUAGAGGAGCCUGUCCAAUAACCGAUAAUCCACGAUUCACCCCACCCGUUUUUGCCAAACAGUCUAUAUACCGCCGUCGCCAGCUUACCUUGUGAAAGAAACAAAGCAAGCCAGAUAGUACCACACUAACACGACAGGUCGAGGUGUAACAAAUAAACGGGUCAAAGAUGGGCUACAUUUUCUUAAUCAGAAAAAACGAAUAAAGUAUGAAACAACAACCUGAAGGAGGAUUUAGCAGUAAGAUAAAAACAGAAUACUUACCUGAAACUAACGCAAUGAAGUGCGUACACACCGCCCGUUAUCCCUGUAAAUAACAUAAACAUCCAUAAUCACACACACACCUUAAUGCAGGGCAAGUCGUAUCACGGUAAGCAUACUGGAAAGUGUGCUUA